rnacentral:rRNA from 1 species
GUGCCAGCCGCCGCGGUAAUACCGGCAGCCCGAGUGAUGGCCGAUUUUAUUGGGCCUAAAGCGUUCGUAGCCUGCCAGACAGGUCCGUCGGGAAAUCUGCACGCCCAACGUGCAGGCGUCCGGCGGAAACCAGCUGGCUUGGGGCCGGAAGACCCAGGGGGUACGUCCGGGGUAGGAGUGAAAUCCUGUAAUCCCGGACGGACCGCCGGUGGCGAAAGCGCCCUGGGAGGACGGACCCGACGGUGAGGGACGAAAGCUAGGGUCACGAACCGGAUUAGAUACCCGGGUAGUCC